rnacentral:rRNA from 1 species
GAUGAACGCUGCCAGAAUGCUUAACACAUGCAAGUCUACUUGAACUUCGGUUUAGGUGGCGGACGGGUGAGUAACGCGUAAAGAACUUGCCUCACAGUUAGGGACAACAUUUGGAAACGAAUGCUAAUACCUGAUAUUAUGAUUUUAGGGCAUCCUAGGAUUAUGAAAGCUAUAUGUGCUGUGAGAGAGCUUUGCGUCCCAUUAGCUAGUUGGAGAGGUAACGGCUCACCAAGGCGAUGAUGGGUAGCCGGCCUGAGAGGGUGAACGGCCACAAGGGGACUGAGACACGGCCCUUACUCCUACGGGAGGCAGCAGUGGGGAAUAUUGGACAAUGGACCAAAAGUCUGAUCCAGCAAUUCUGUGUGCACGAUGACGUUUUUCGGAAUGUAAAGUGCUUUCAGUUGGGAAGAAAAAAAUGACGGUACCAACAGAAGAAGUGACGGCUAAAUACGUG